UGGUGUAGUGAUACUGGGAUAAGAGUGCAGGUGGUUGUUAGAGAAUAAUUUAUACUGAGCGUGACCAACACAAAAAAUUAUUUGAAUGUCUACUCACUCUCAGUAAUCUUCUCAAUGCUACAGUGGUGUGAGGGGUCCUUUAAUCUGUGGUGUGUUGGCUAUUCGCAGUGAGGCUACUGAGUUUGACUGUACAUUCCCUUGAUCCCUACCCAUUUGAGUCUUUGUUAUGUAUAUUGACUACAGUAGAUUCAGGUUUGCUAUUAGAGUAAGAUGCACUUAGAUAGAAUCUAUCGAUCUUGGUAGA
rnacentral:lncRNA from 1 species